rnacentral:rRNA from 1 species
UACGGGAGGCAGCAGUGGGGAAUAUUGCACAAUGGGGGAAACCCUGAUGCAGCGACGCCGCGUGAGUGAUGAAGUAUUUCGGUAUGUAAAGCUCUAUCAGCAGGGAAGAUAUUGACGGUACCUGACUAAGAAGCCCCGGCUAACUACGUGCCAGCAGCCGCGGUAAU